AAUUAACGCUGGCGGCGUGCCUAACACAUGCAAGUCGUACGAGAAAGUUCUUCGGAAUGAGUACAGUGGCGAACGGGUGCGUAACACGUAGGUAAUCUGCCCUUAAGAGAGGGAUAACAUGCCGAAAGGCGUGCUAAUACCUCAUAACAUCCCAGUUACUGCGGUGAUUGGGAUCAAAGAUGGCCUCUACUUGUAAGCUAUCACUUAAGGAUGAGCCUGCGCCCAUUAGCUCGUUGGUAGGGUAACGGCCUACCAAGGCUAUGAUGGGUAGCUGGUCUGAGAGGACGACCAGCCACACUGGAACUGAGACACGGUCCAGACUCCUACGGGAGGCAGCAGUGGGGAAUCUUGGACAAUGGAGAACCCUGAUCAGCAACGCCGUGUGAGUGAUGAAGGUCUUCGGAUCGUAAAGCUCUGUCACUCGGGAAGAACGCGCAACAUCAGAUCUUUGCGUUGACGGUACCGAGAGAGGAAGCACCGCUAACUCUGUGCCAGCAGCCGCGGUAAUACAGAGGGUGCGAGCGUUAUUCGAAACUAUUGGGCGUAAAGCGCGAGUAGGUGGUGAGGUAAGUUCCGUGUGAAAGCUUCGGGC
rnacentral:rRNA from 1 species